UGAAUGGAAGGGCCAUCGCUCAACGGAUAAAAGGUACUCCGGGGAUAACAGGCUGAUACCGCCCAAGAGUUCAUAUCGACGGCGGUGUUUGGCACCUCGAUGUCGGCUCAUCACAUCCUGGGGCUGAAGUAGGUCCCAAGGGUAUGGCUGUUCGCCAUUUAAAGUGGUACGCGAGCUGGGUUUAGAACGUCGUGAGACAGUUCGGUCCCUAUCUGCCGUGGGCGCUGGAGAACUGAGGGGGGCUGCUCCUAGUACGAGAGGACCGGAGUGGACGCAUCACUGGUGUUCGGGUUGUCAUGCCAAUGGCACUGCCCGGUAGCUAAAUGCGGAAGAGAUAAGUGCUGAAAGCAUCUAAGCACGAAACUUGCCCCGAGAUGA
rnacentral:rRNA from 1 species